rnacentral:tRNA from 1 species
AGGAGUAUAGCUCAGUGGUAGAACACCUGCCUUGUAUGCAUGAGGUCCUGAGUUUGAUACCCAGCACUCCCU